rnacentral:rRNA from 1 species
AGCAGUAGCCGCGGUAAUACGUAGGGUGCAAGCGUUAAUCGGAAUUACUGGGCGUAAAGCGUGCGCAGGCGGUUAUAUAAGACAGAUGUGAAAUCCCCGGGCUCAACCUGGGAACUGCAUUUGUGACUGUAUAGCUAGAGUACGGCAGAGGGGGAUGGAAUUCCGCGUGUAGCAGUGAAAUGCGUAGAUAUGCGGAGGAACACCGAUGGCGAAGGCAAUCCCCUGGGCCUGUACUGACGCUCAUGCACGAAAGCGUGGGGAGCAAACAGGAUUAGAUACCCCGGUAGUCCCUGUCUCUUAUAA